rnacentral:rRNA from 1 species
UACGUAGGGGGCAAGCGUUGUCCGGAAUCAUUGGGCGUAAAGAGCGCGUAGGCGGUCCGUUAAGUCCGCUCUGAAAGCCCGGGGCUCAACCCCGGGAGGCGGGCGGAUACUGUCGGGCUAGAGUCCGGAAGAGGCGAGUGGAAUUCCUGGUGUAGCGGUGAAAUGCGCAGAUAUCAGGAGGAACACCGGUGGCGAAGGCGGUUCUCUGGGCAUUACCUGACGCUGAGGAGCGAAAGCAUGGGGAGCGAACAGG